GACGGAGGUGCCGAGCGUUAGGCGGAAUCACUGGGCUUAAAGCGUGUGUAGGCGGAUCGUUAAGUGCCUUGUGAAAUCCCACGGCUCACCCGUGGAACUGCUGGGCAUACUGGCGGUCUUGAGCCACCUAGGGGCAACCGGAACAAACGGUGGAGCGGUGAAAUGCGUAGAUAUCGUUUGGAACGCCAAUGGUGAAAACAGGUUGCUGGGGGUGUGCUGACGCUGAGACACGAAAGCCAGGGGAGCAAACGGG
rnacentral:rRNA from 1 species